UACGUAGGGGGCAAGCGUUGUUCGGAGUUACUGGGCGUAAAGGGUGUGUAGGCGGUUCUUUAAGUUUGGUGUGAAAUCUCCCGGCUCAACUGGGAGGGUGCGCCGAAUACUGAGGGACUAGAGUACGGGAGAGGAAAGUGGAAUUCCUGGUGUAGCGGUGAAAUGCGUAGAUAUCAGGAGGAACACCGGUGGUGUAGACGGCUUUCUGGACCGUAACUGACGCUGAGACACGAAAGCGUGGGUAGCAAACAGG
rnacentral:rRNA from 1 species